CUUCCCAUUAAAACAAUCAAGAAUGAUGGCGAAUUUAAUAUAUUUGAUUAGAGAAACUCCAAUUUGGUGCACUUGAAUCAGCUGCCUUUGUCUUCAGCUCCUGAUGGCCCUGUUUCAGUGGAAUGUCCUCACUGGCCACUGCCAGCUCCCUCAGGCUCGGAGAACAUUCCACAUUUGCCUGGCAUGCUCAGAAACAGGGCAGCUAUGCUGCGGGAAAUGCCAGGCCCACUCUGUCCUAAUCAGAGGGAGCGCCACUUCAUUAGAUCAUGGUCACUUGCUGGUGACCCUCAGAGGUGUAGCCUGAGGACAAAGGACGUUAUGGUCCUCCUAAGCAAUGUUGACUUUUCACGGUUAUUUAUUACUUCCCUCAGUUGGUACUUACCAAUGCGAUCCAGGCCUGACUCCUACACAAACAACCCCCAUAGACUCCCGUGUUCAAGUUGCACAGAUGAAUUUUGGAGAAAGUAAUCACAUUUAAAUAUGGAGUCCCUUCCAUUAAAAAUAAAUAGAAACUCAGGGGAAAAUAGAAAAAGUGUCCUCACCCCCCGCCCCCCGUGUCAUUAAGAGAGCUUGCAAUCGUGUCUAAGUAGCACCCACUUUGCAGAAACCUUGAAAGGUGUUUCAGGGGAGCCAGGGAGUACAGACUUAGACAAUGUCACUUAUUCACACUUAAAAUACAUGGUGAUUUAGCGCUAUCACUAUUUAGUCUAGAUAAGUGCUCGAUGAACAAGUAAGGACUGAAUUAAAGAUGAGAGUCUGAACUGUGGCAGAGAUAUGUGGGCUCUCUUGAAUUCAUAGGGAUUUCCUUGGAUAGUUUCUACUCACUGCCAGUAUCGUAUUGAACUGAGACGGACUAGGCUACAAAGACAGUUAAACUCAUUGCCUGCUUAAUCACAAAGGAAAGAAGUUGGAAUCCGCCCCACAUUGCCACCUGGCUUAGUCCCUGCCUAUGAUUGCCUGUGAUAGGAAACCAAACCCAAGGGACUAUGGCCAAGUAUAAAAUAGCAUCCAGGUUUCUGGGUCUCAGCACCCGUGUCCAGUCUGUGAAGCAGCCUGUCAACAAGAGACUUUAAAGUCUCUGCUACACUUGGGAAGAGUUACCUAGGAAGGAGGGCACCUCCUGGGGGUGACUGGGGGCUGCAAGGGAUACUUCCCUUGGAGAUCAACUGGCAGCCCAUCAGUUUGGCCUGCUACACAAGUCAGAGACCUCUGAGGAGGGCUAAAGAUGUUUUGGCUCCACACCCAAAAGCACUCUGAGCGUGGGGCAAGAAGAACCAGCCAGCCUUCCAGAAAGGCCAGUUUCCCAAGAGCAGCAUGGGCUGCCAGGUUCAGGGACGUGCAGCCAAGGCCAGCAGGAGAUGUUCUGAGCUGCCCANGGUGAGGGAGAGGGAGAGGGAGUUUCAUGAUACUCAGCUAGAUGAAUGUGUUCAAACACAACAGAGAGCCUGCCUGCCUGCCUGCCUUCUACCUCUCCCUUUUCAGUUGAGUUUGAAGAUUCCUCUCGUAUAAGAAUUAAUAUGAAAAGAAUUCUGAACCCUAUUAUGGCAUUGUGUUAUAAUAAUGGAAUGCUCGUCCCGCCCAAUCUGGCUGGCUGUCCCCUGGACCAUGCCAACAACAAUCCAGUUCCACAGUGUGUAAGGGUGGCUGUGGGGACAGCCUCCAGAGCUGACAGAGAGGCUCUGGAUACUUCAUGACGGUCAAAUGGACAGAGUGGGUCCGGACACCCCAGCCACCUUUCUGCACACACGUGUGGACACAGGAGGACACAUGCUUGGUGUUGGGGAUUGAACUCCAGCAGUAGUGUGAGGGAUCCAGUAAGACAUGAGAAAGGUCUUCCAGCCGGAGAAAGGUUCAGCCCUGCUUGUCACUGGAAAAGGAUGCCGAAGUGCUGCCUGAGAGAGAAUAUGUCUGAUGAGUGAGGGGUGGAGUCCUGCAGUUCUACAGAAGCCCCUGGCUGCCUAGACAGUGAUAAGGAUAACAGCCUCGUAUGCAAUCAUCAAAUGGUACCACAAGGAGAGAGCACACAUUCAGAACUCACUGUAAGAGCCAGCCUGCUUCAGAGACACUGACCAGCAAGCAAUCACGGUGCUGCACAUCACACAGGGUGGAGCCAGCCGUGCGUGAGCUUCGAUGGGCGACCACAGCAAGGAAAUGGAAGCCAAAGAGAACCAAGCGCUGAACGGCCUCGAUUAAAGACCCGAAAAUGAAUACUGUGUAGGCAAAGACGGGAUUCCCCUCAGAGAGCAACAGUGGGUGAGGAUAAUCCUAGGUGUGGCAAAGAUCGAGGACCUCCACAAAGGCUCCAGCUGCAGCUUGCUGGGCUGUCUGUCCCACCAGCAGACAGGCUUCAUCAGGAAUGAAAACCAUCCCGUGGCCUACAGCAGCCCUUCAAAUAGAGUCUGGAUGGAAGCACGAAGAGACGAACACAGCCAGGUACUACCAGCGCAUCAGUGGGGCGGAACUGGUCUCCAUGAGCCACCCACAGGGACUACUGCAGAGCAGGAGAGUGGGCAAUGGUAAGGAGAUCUGGUGCCGAGGCUGCAGUACUGCAGAGAGAGGGCCUAACAUGUGCACAAGAAAAACAGCAGUGCCCAUGAAGGACCACUCAGUCUAGGAUGAUCAUGGCUUCCAGGUGGACAGUGGUAGAGUAUAAUGAGCAGGCCACUAGGCAGGUUUGGGCACAGCUGCCAGGGCAGGGUGUUUUCAGUGUCUAUGAAGAGUGGGAGAAAGACUAUUUUGGGGGAUAGAAUUGUCAUAAAAAAACCUCCUCCACCUGGAGGUUUCUCCCUGGGUUGUCAAACAUUUUACAUAUACAACCUCACUUAUCCCCUCUCUUCCCUGUGGGGAACCAGGUUUAUGGGGGCUCCAGAAGUAACACCAGCCUAUCUUUAACAGGUGAGUGUGGAAUGACUCUUGGCUGGCAAGCAACUGCCUCCUGAAUAGUCAGAGGAGUAUCCUUACAUCCUAAUGACAUCGUGAAACAAUUAGAACCACCAUCAGUCCCUUUUCCUCCAUCCUUGUGACUCACUGGUAAAAGCUAGAGAAUCCCUCAUCAAUUACUAAGUUACUAACCUGUGAGUCAGGUGGAUUAGAGAGGCUGAACAAUCUGCAGAACAAUUGUGCAUGUGCUUCUGACUCAGCUCAAGGUGUUAAAAGGGACCCGUCCUACAUCCCACACCUAGAAACACCUGUCUCACUCAUUUCCCAGCAUGCCUAGGACUGCUGCCCCAGUGUGGCAAGCACUAAAGCACUCGGAGCAUCACCUGAAGGUCAGCACCUCCUGCCCUCUGAUGCCCACGAGUGAAGUUCACACAGCACCACUGCAGUUUAUCAUUUAUCAAGUCCGCUACCUUUUAGGACCAGGGAGGCUCAGCUCUCUAUAACCAUCAGAAGAAACUCCUCUCCUCCCACUUCUUCCUAUGUGACGUCAUAGGGUCCAGCAUAGGAACUUGGAACAAGUAGCCCUGAGAAGUCAUUUGAGAUCAGAAGAGAGGGGUUUUUAAUCUUGGUUCACCGGAAGAGCACUGAUGCAUUUGACUUCCUGAUUUUGGCAGACCAAAUAAAACAAACAGAUUAAAAAGAGAGAAAAGGGAAGGAAGAAUAAAAGGAAGGAAGGGAGGAAGGAAAAAACAAAUCCACAAUUGACAACAAAAAGUAACUAAUAACACAGAAACUAAUUAGGACUCUGUCGUAUUUAAUUCUUCUUCAUAUCAAGGUGUCCAGGGCCACCAUUGAGUGCGGCCAAUGCUAGAGUAGACAUGCUUCUUGUGGCACACAGUGCAAGUGUUUUUAGGAGAGGAAGUGAAGCAGGGUGUGUGCUGGCUGACUCAGAGGGCUGGUAUAGGGAACGUGAGGUGCUGAGGAACCCUGGUUCCUGUUGUAACAGCCAGCUGCUUUCUCUAAGCGCUUACCUUACCCUCUCAGAAGGACCUUGUUUGUACUCCAUAAUGGAUGACUGUGGAAUGUACAUUGUAACCAUUAGUCACACGGCCGAACGGAUACAAUGGCCACUUCUAGACAUUAGCUAUUGAUGGAGGCAGACGAUGACACUCAGGACAAACUGUUCUCUGCAUGAGGAACACUGAGUAAACUGACUAGAGAGUUAUGGCUCAAGGAGGCAAGUCCUGGCAGGCAGAGAGAAAGCAGCAUGAGCCAAUGUGUAAGCCUAGACUGGCUCACUAUUCAGACUCUGGCUAAUUGACCGAGUGGUGGGGUCCAGACAGUCGUGUGUGGCCAGUGAGUACUCACAAGUCCUCCUUUCUGUGUUCCGGAAGAGUAUAACUGAGUGAGCUCCACAUGUAGGAGUUCAGUGCAUGAUAGAUUUUCUUUCCAGGAAGACUGUACAGUAUAGCUAUUGGCACGGCCAUAGGCUUGAUAUUUCAGUUCUUCUAGUUAUUAACUGGACAGCUUUGCACCAAUUCUUUCAACAGCCAAAGUCCUGGUCCUUGUCUCAGAGGAUUGUUAUGAUAAAGCUAUGUGAUAUCUCAGUCAAAAUGUGGAUGGUGUUCCUCAUUCCUGGUAUGUCGUCGUGAUUAUUGUGUCACAGUGGAUUCAGAAUGCAUUACUCCACCAUUUAUCUCCACAUGGCAGAGUUCAUCUAUAUUUGUAUGUUUGCCUUCACCCAUGGGCUAUGCAUUGCUCAGGGAAAGAGCUAUUUUUUGCAUCUUACCUGAUUCCUAGAACUGCUGUGGACCUUCCUGGAAACACAAGUACUGAGGGUGGGACACAGAGUUGGACAAAGGCCAAAGACUGAUGAUCUAUGGUCUUGUUGCUCUCUCCUACUGUUCUGGGGGCCAGAAGCUGACGCCCCUGGAAACUUAACUCUUUCUUACUGUUCUGUGCUGAUAAGGGCUAGUUUCCCACUCCGUACUUCUCUAUUUGUGUUUAAAUAAGCACUGGUUUUUCUUUUCUUCCUCUCUCAGCCCCUCACUCCUCAGGAGACUCAGAAUUCAUUAACUCUGAACCAGAGAGAAAAGAAGGA
rnacentral:sRNA from 1 species